ACAUUAGGUGGAACAAUCCCCCAUGCAUCCAGCACUGCAAUAAAGAAUGCCUGCCUUUAAAACUUCAAACUAAGUCUCAGAGGGUUCUUUUGAGACCGAUUUUAUGGUAACAAUCCAAUUUCACACAAAACUA